CUCAUCCAGAAUGCAUCAUGUCUGGAAUUUUGCUGCUCCCCUUGGGAGGCCACCAGAGGCCAGGGCAUCUUGCUGUUAGAGCACCUUGGAUGACACCUUCUGAGAACUGUGCUCCUUAGCGACUGUGCUGCUUCUCUGGGUAUGUGUAAAGAGUGGGGGACUCUGAAGAACCUCUGCCAAAGUAGCUCUUUGUACAGUUGCUAUAAGGGCUGACAGAGUUGCCAACCAGGCUUACCUGUGAGCAUCUUAAUGAGGGCAACGAGAACGGAAUGUGGAUGUGCGUCAUGCAGCCCAACACGGUGACGGAGGCACUCAGCCCUCAUCAGAGACCUGACAACUGCUUUGUGUCUAUAAGAACAAUCUGGAAGGAAAUGUAUCGGUUCGUGAUAUUUGCCAUUAUUUGGUUGCAGUCAAUAAGUGUGUGUUUAUUAGCUUGGGCCUGCUGCUCUGAAUAAGACUGAUUGUCUCAUUAAGGAAAAUGAGU